rnacentral:rRNA from 1 species
UAAAGCGAGCAGUGAAAGACUCCGGCUCAACCGGAGGCACAUUGUUCGAACUUACAAGCUAGAGCAUAGUAGAGGUGCCUGGAAUUCCUAGUGUAGGAGUGAAAUCCGUAGAUAUUAGGAGGAACACCGAUGGCGUAGGCAGGGUACUGGGCUAUUGCUGACACUAAGGCACGAAAGCGUGGGAGCGAACGGGAUUAGAUACCCCGGUAGUCCACGCCGUAAACUAUGGAUGCUA